GAAUUCUUAGGCCUCACUCCUAAUUAAGGAUCACCAAUUUAGCCCAAUUUUGGAGGGAACAUGACCUUGUAAACCCCACAUCCUCUUUCCUUUUUCUUUAGUCACUCUCAAGAUUCAACCAUCAAGCCAAUUUAUAAAAGAAAAGCAAGGCACCCCCCACCCUCCGAAAGAAAAUCUCAAGUCUCCUCUAGCAAUUUCACCACCUUUUACACUUACCUAUCUAGACCUUCUUGCCUUGUAUACUUCUUUCAGACCUUCAACCUCAUCACACACUCAAAGCCAUGGAUUGGUUCUCUUGGCUAUCAAAAACUGGCCUUGAACCUUCUCUUGUAUACGAAUAUGGCCUUGCUUUUUCUCACAAUGAGCUUGAAGAAGAUGAUAUAGCUUAUUUUAACCAUGAGUUUCUUCAAAGCAUGGGAAUAUCAAUAGCCAAACAUAGGCUGGAGAUCCUCAAGCUUGCUAGGAAGGAGAAAGGAGCUAGCCCACAUCCCAUUUCAAGAGUUCUUGUUGCAAUCAAGAGAACAAAGAGGUGUCUAGCUAAUUACAUAAGAGCAUGGUCUCGCCGCGAUGAAUCUGCUCUUGUUGUUGUUCCAAGGCCUGGUUAUGCCACUAGAUGGAGAGGAGCAAUGUUGAAGAGGAACAAGAAGUUGAUGAUGGCUAAGCAAGGGAGAUUGUUGCUCACAAAUGGAAGUCCUAAGGUGGUUUCUGGGCCUAGAUUAGAUAGUUUCUCAAGUCCAAUGGUGUAUGAUCUUCACAAAGAGGAGAAGAUGGAUGGUGAUGAUGAUGGCUAUUGGUCAACUGGUGUUGAAGAGAUCAGGUGGGAUACAAUGUUUCAGAAUCUGAAACCAACAUGAGCUAAUUGUUUCAGUUUUCAGUUUUCUUUUCUUUUUCCAAAUGUUUUCUUUAUUGAUUUUAAUUUUAAUGGUGAGAGAUGGAUUUUUUGGGUUCUUCCACCGGAGAGUCUUAUUUGUGUGUUUAAGAAGACAAUAUUUUCUUUUUUCCUUUUUUUUUCCCCACUAGUGGUGGGUCAGAUAGAGCGCACACUUUGGCAUCAGGGGUCAGAGCCUGUUUCAGCAAUGAGAUUGUCUCCCCUUGCUUUUGUGUGGCGUAAUCUUUCUUUAUCUUUGCAGAAAAGAAGGCAUAAUAGCGUUUGUGUCUUUCUAAGAAGACAGACUGUGUUAGGUAUGCAAAUAUGUAGUGAAAUGUAUCCCUGUUUUCUUUUGGUAAAAGAGAAGAAGCUAAAUUUAUCACUUUAAUGAAUCAAUUCUACUCUUCUGAUAUCUUGGGAGCAUGAAUUUCUUUAUCAAAUCUGUAAAUAAGCCAUUCACUUUAUACUGUAAUUGCCCAUAGAACAUAGAAACAGUGAUACAGAAGUUACAAGCUUCAUUUCAUGUAAGGAUUUUAAGUGUAUGUGUGUGUUUGUGGAUUAACAGAGGCA
rnacentral:misc_RNA from 1 species